UUGUCUCAAAGAUUAAGCCAUGCAUGUCUCAGUACAAGCCAAAUUAAGGUGAAACCGCGAAAGGCUCAUUAAAUCAGUUAUGGUUCCUUAGAUCGUACCCACACUUACUUGGAUAACUGUGGUAAUUCUAGAGCUAAUACAUGCAAACAGAGCUCCGACCGGAGACGGAAGGAGCGCUUUUAUUAGAUCAAAACCAAUCGGUGAAGGGUUCGCCCGACAUCGUAUAACUUGGUGACUCUGAAUAACUUUAAGCUGAUCGCACGGUCUAGCACCGGCGACGCAUCUUUCAAAUGUCUGCCUUAUCAACUGUCGAUGGUAGGUUCUGCGCCUACCAUGGUCGUAACGGGUAACGGGGAAUCAGGGUUCGAUUCCGGAGAGGGAGCCUGAGAAACGGCUACCACAUCCAAGGAAGGCAGCAGGCGCGCAAAUUACCCACUCCCGGCACGGGGAGGUAGUGACGAAAAAUAACGAUACGGGACUCAUCCGAGGCCCCGUAAUCGGAAUGAGUACACUCUAAACCCUUUAACGAGGAUCAAUUGGAGGGCAAGUCUGGUGCCAGCAGCCGCGGUAAUUCCAGCUCCAAUAGCGUAUAUUAAAGUUGUUGCGGUUAAAAAGCUCGUAGUCGAAUUUGUGUCCCGCGCCGCCGGUUCAUCGUCCGCGGUGUUAACUGGCGUUUCGCGGGACGUCCUGCCGGUGGGCUUAGCUCUUCGGGGCGGCCCAACUCAAUCCCGCCGCGGUGCUCUUAACUGAGUGUCGAGGUGGGCCGGCACGUUUACUUUGAACAAAUUAGAGUGCUUAAAGCAGGCUAGAACUUCGCCUGAAUACUGUGUGCAUGGAAUAAUGGAAUAGGACCUCGGUUCUAUUUUGUUGGUUUUCGGAACCCCGAGGUAAUGAUUAAUAGGAACGGAUG
rnacentral:rRNA from 1 species